UUUAUUCUCGCCUGGUAGACGCCAACUUGAACAUGUGCUUCAAGUUUCAAAGAUUUCACCAAGGUUUAAGAAUUUGACCAGAAGUGGACCAAAACAUAGCGAGUGUUGGUUGUUUACAUCUGUGGGACAGACCUCAGCCUUUGAUAAACGAAAUACCAAGCAAAAUAACAACAGCUUGAUAUGAAUGAAAGCUGAAUAGGAAUCCAUUUAGCUGUGCAACACCUGUUUUGGAAUACAAAGCACAACAUGAUUCUUAAAUAGGAGUUCAACGGUCACCAGAACAUGUGUUACAACAUAUUUGAUGCCACUGAUGGACAUGAUUCUAAUGAACCAGCAUUGGAGGAGGAGACAUGACAGCUAUACCCGCAGUUUGCUACUGUGGUCCUCUGAAAUAGAAGUCUAGACUGUCCCUCUGUUAUUUUAUCUGAAGAGAUGGAAGGGAAUGGUGGAAAUCUCUGACAAGUGAGGAUGAAAAUGCAAGCAACGGUGGUCAUGGUGACAAAAAUGGCAGAAGAGACCAAAGAUUUGGAAGAAGUGAUAAGAG